UAAAAAGCUCGUAGUUGAAAUUGUGUCCUGCGGUGUCGGUCUACCGAAUGCGGUACGACAGGCACGUCUGCGGGGCUUCUCGCCGGUGCGUCCACCGCCGGCGUGUGUCGGUCGGCCUCACGGUCGGCCGCGCACCGAGGCGGGCCGUCGCGGCUGUUUACUUUGAACAAAUUAGAGUGCUCAAAGCGGGCUAACACUUGCCUGAAUAUUGUACGCAUGGAAUAAUAGAAUAGGACCUCGGUUCUGUUUUGUUGGCUUUCUGAUACCAGAGGUAAUGAUUAAUAGGGACAACUGGGGGCAUUCGUAUUGCGACGUUAGAGGUGAAAUUCUUGGAUCGUCGCAAGACGGACUAAAGCGAAAGCAUUUGCCAAAGGUGUUUUCAUUAAUCAAGAACGAAAGUUAGAGGUUCGAAGGCGAUUAGAUACCGCUGUAGUUCUAACCAUAAAUGAUGCCAGCCAGCGAUCCGCCGAAGUUUCAUAAUUUUAACCCGGUGGGCAGCUCCCGGGAAACCAAAGCUUUCGGGCUCCGGGG
rnacentral:rRNA from 1 species